rnacentral:sRNA from 1 species
UGUUUGGUGGUUGAAGAUCCUGUCCAUGGCAUUCAUCUAGAAACAUUUACACAAGCCACACCAGUGCCUUUGGAAUUUGUACAGCAGGCUCAAAGUCUAACUCCCCAGGACUACAAUCUGAGGUGGUCAGGCCUUUUGGUGACAGUGGGUGAAGUCCUGGAAAAGAGUUUACUGAAUGUCAGCCGGACUGAUUGGCACAUGGCAUUUACUGGGAUGUCUCGUCGGCAGAUGAUCUACAGUGCAGCCAGAGCAAUAGCAGGCAUGUAUAAACAGCGCCUGCCACCCAGGACAGUGUGAGAGGAGACUUACCUAGGAGACUGAGACUUUCCUCCACUUUUAGCUUGAUGUUAAAGAAGUGGUUGUACCUUCCUAAAUCAAAUAGUCUAAAUGAAUCCAGUAGUUUUUAUCAUUUUCCUGUAGGCUGCAAUUUUUCUUUUUCUAGAAAGGCAUUGUGUCAUUCCAGGAGACAAAAAGAAACAAAUCCUUUUUAUAGUCAUACCAUUUCACCUAUCAUAGUACUCAAAAAAGAAAAUAUACAAAUCUAUUUAUAGCACAAUUUAAUAUACCAGAUUUAUAAGGUGGAAAUUCAUGUGCGGAGACAUUUAACUUAAUGCCAUGUACUUGAUUAUUUUGUUCUUUAAAGAAGACAUUAUUAAAGAACAUGUUCGUUGAAUGUUUAUAAAAGCAUGAUUUGCUUUGGCUUCAUCUCUUUUCUGUCAGUCUUUGACUACUUUUGUACGUGCACACAAUCUCAGGGCUGGUGCUGAGCAGCCUGCUCAACAGUCAGUAUAAGACACCUACUUGUCGGGAGAUGUUCCACAUUUCUGUGCAUGUUUU